rnacentral:lncRNA from 1 species
GUGUGCACUGGGCUAAGAGGGUUGGGGAAAAAGGGUCUUCAGAUAAGCAUGUGUGGACACACAGGAGGUGCUGCCCUGGGGCUGCCAGUGUGGCUGUGCAGAGGGCUCUCUAGCUCACCCCUUUAACAGCUUCAACCGACACUCAUCUUUCUUACAGAGCCAGAAUUUGAUUUUGAAGACUUUCCUUUCUUAACAUCAAAAAAUAUAACUGAAAUGGACUAAGAUACAGCCAUCAUAUGAAUAUGGGUUUCAGAUGUACAACAAGACAUGGAAAAACUGACAGUGUGAACAGUGAAGAAAAAGGAAGAAAUCCACUUUGGAUCAUGGUUUAGAAGAAAUAUGGGGUCCAAAAAAGGGUUUCUUUUUUGAAUCUGCCAUGCUAUGAAGGACGUGAAAAUCAGUUUUACUGGAAAGAUGAUGGACUCUCAUCUGAGAUUGCCCCCUGGAGGACAUAGGGAGCAACCAGACAGCAUCUGCUUCCUGCUCCAGGGAGGAUCAACAUUAAUUAAUGCAACAGAGCAGCUGGUUCUCUCUGAGCUACUGAUUUGGAUUCAGCUGCAGUGAUUAUUUCUUUGUGCAUCAUUUGGCUUUGUGCAUCAUUUGACUCCUCAAAAGAUCACACAUUGUUAUGUUUUACAUCUAGACUGUCUCACAAAAGUCCCAUAAGUUCAGAGGUGGGACUUUUGGAUGGUGACUGGAUCAUGGAGGUGCUGUGCUCUUCAGAGCAUUGAGCACACUCUCACACAAAUGCUUGUGGAUGGACUAUGUGAAAUUGAACCAGAACUUCAGGAAUGAAGAAGUGAAGUCAGAAGAACUAGUAAGCUGGAAACCAAAGGCAGAGAGAAAUACAAUCAAGGAAAUAUUAAACUCAGAUAUGGAAACUGAAACCAAGCAAUAUUAAUAGACACACUCCUGACCAUCUAGAAGAAUUUUAUUGGAAUCUAUAGUGCUAUCCAUAACCACCUUCUAAUAAAGAACUGAGCAAUUUCAUAAGUAGGAUUUAAAAAUUUUAUACAAAUUCACAGUGGUGAAUUAUAAUAAUUCAUUUCAGCAUUCAUUUGCAUAGAUACAUUUGAUUUUACUUCAUUUCUAAGAUUACUUUUUUCUCUUUGAAGAUACUAAGUUUAAGUCACAAAAUAAACUAUGAUGAACUUACAGAAUUCUCCCUCUUGCAUCAAGCACAUCCCAUCAUCCUUGCUACUUUCUGAAGCAGUUCUGGAAGUCCUCUUAUGUGAGUGUCUUUAGUUGAAUUGU